ensembl:snRNA U6 U6 spliceosomal RNA
GUGCUUGCUUCCCCAGCACACGCACUAACAUUGGAACGAUACAGAGCAGAUUCGCAUGGCCCCGGAGCACGGAUGGCACGCAAAUUCGUGAAGCUUCCAUAUUUUAA